rnacentral:rRNA from 1 species
UACGAAGGGGGCUAGCGUUGCUCGGAAUCACUGGGCGUAAAGGGCGCGUAGGCGGAUCUUUAAGUCAGGGGUGAAAGCCUGAGGCUCAACCUCAGAAUUGCCUUUGAUACUGAAGAUCUUGAGACCGGAAGAGGUUAGUGGAACUGCGAGUGUAGAGGUGAAAUUCGUAGAUAUUCGCAAGAACACCAGUGGCGAAGGCGGCUCACUGGCCCGGUACUGACGCUGAGGUGCGAAAGCGUGGGGAGCAAACAGG